AACGAACGCUGGCGGCAUGCCUAACACAUGCAAGUCGAACGAGACCUUCGGGUCUAGUGGCGCACGGGUGCGUAACGCGUGGGAACCUGCCCUUAGGUUCGGAAUAACUCCCCGAAAGGGGUGCUAAUACCGGAUAAUGUCUUCGGACCAAAGAUUUAUCGCCUUUGGAUGGGCCCGCGUUGGAUUAGCUAGUUGGUAGGGUAAAAGCCUACCAAGGCGACGAUCCAUAGCUGGUCUGAGAGGAUGAUCAGCCACACUGGGACUGAGACACGGCCCAGACCCUUCGGGGAGGCAGCAGGGGGGAUUAUUGGCCAAGGGGCGAAGGCCUGAUCCAGCAAUGCGGCGUGAGUGAUGAGGGCCUAGGGUUGUAAAGCUCUUUUACCCGGGAUGAUAAUGACAGUACCGGGAGAAUAAGCUCCGGCUAACUCCGUG
rnacentral:rRNA from 1 species